rnacentral:lncRNA from 1 species
CGAGAGAGUGGAAUUUCAAAAUCUGGCUAAGUCCCAGAUUUUGUGCUCUCGGGGACCGGUCCCUGAAGGAGAGACCGGUCCCCGUACGCGUAGCCUGUCAGGAAUCCUGAGGCAACCGGUCCCUGACAGUGAGACCGGUCCUCGGGAGACCGGUCCCUGAGGGAAAGACCGGUCCCCCGUCGCGCAGUAGCCGAAAAAGCCCGAAAAUCGGCUAAGUCAUGGAAAACCCACGUUCGGGAACCGGUCCCUGGUCGGGGAGACCGGUCCCCGACUGCGAAAAUUGCCCAGUCUGAGCAGUGCACUAUGAAACAAGUGGAGGGGCUUAAGUGCAAUUGUCACAACAUGUUAUAUGGUUAUCCCCUUCACUCCCAAAGCCAUUUCUCUCCCCUCUCUCAUUU